UAUAAAAACUUUUUAAUCGAUCAACGAUCAGAAAGAUAAUUCCAUCUGAAUUUUUCGGACAAUCAACGAGGAAAUGUAAUUGAUUUAUCUGAAACAAGAUCAUGAUCGCCCUACUGAAGUAUCAACUUCUGAUAAUCCACUUGUUGUAAAUGAUAAUCGGUCCAUCGAAGUGUUAACCUCUAAAAACAUUAAAGCAGCAUCUUGUUAUAUAGAACACCAGUUGAACGAUUCUGAAUUAUCAAGAGAAAAUUCAGAAAACUAUUUGCCAUUGCGUUUGACAAGCGCGGGUGGAUCAAUGUCUAGUGGGGAAGCAUUAACUUUUCUUGAUGAUGAUUAUAUAAAAGGAUAAGAGAUUGCUAUCAAGAUUAAAGUUGUUAAUGAUGUAGCGGAGAGAGAGAGAGCUGUACAAUUGGCUCAAGAAUGUAUAAAUAUGGUAGCUAAAGAUGAGAAUCAAAAACAAUAUCUUCUCCAGGUGAUAAAAAAGUAUAAGAAUGAAUUUUCAAAUGCUACUAAGGAAUGCCUGACAACAAAAAUAAAAGUUCAAUAAUUAA
rnacentral:lncRNA from 1 species